rnacentral:rRNA from 1 species
UACGGAGGGUGCGAGCGUUGUCCGGAAUCACUGGGCGUAAAGGGCGCGUAGGUGGCGACCCAAGUCAACGGUGAAAGCUCGGCGCUUAACGCCGAGUCGGCCGUCGAGACUGGGUGGCUCGAGCACUGUAGAGGCAGAUGGAAUUCCGGGUGUAGCGGUGGAAUGCGUAGAGAUCCGGAAGAACACCGGUGGCGAAGGCGGUCUGCUGGGCAGUUGCUGACACUGAGGCGCGACAGCGUGGGGAGCGAACAGG